CGACACUAACAAUCCUUCGGGUGCGUUAAUGGGCGUCGAGCGNNGGACGGGUGAGUAAUGCCUAGGAAAUUGCCUUGAUGUGGGGGAUAACCAUUGGAAACGAUGGCUAAUACCGCAUAAUGCCUACGGGCCAAAGAGGGGGACCUUCGGGCCUCUCGCGUCAAGAUAUGCCUAGGUGGGAUUAGCUAGUUGGUGAGGUAAUGGCUCACCAAGGCGACGAUCCCUAGCUGGUCUGAGAGGAUGAUCAGCCACACUGGAACUGAGACACGGUCCAGACUCCUACGGGAGGCAGCAGUGGGGAAUAUUGCACAAUGGGCGAAAGCCUGAUGCAGCCAUGCCGCGUGUAUGAAGAAGGCCUUCGGGUUGUAAAGUACUUUCAGUUGUGAGGAAGGGGGUAGCGUUAAUAGCGCUAUCUCUUGACGUUAGCAACAGAAGAAGCACCGGCUAACUCCGUGCCAGCAGCCGCGGUAAUACGGAGGGUGCGAGCGUUAAUCGGAAUUACUGGGCGUAAAGCGCAUGCAGGUGGUUCAUUAAGUCAGAUGUGAAAGCCCGGGGCUCAACCUCGGAACUGCAUUUGAAACUGGUGAACUAGAGUACUGUAGAGGGGGGUAGAAUUUCAGGUGUAGCGGUGAAAUGCGUAGAGAUCUGAAGGAAUACCAGUGGCGAAGGCGGCCCCCUGGACAGAUACUGACACUCAGAUGCGAAAGCGUGGGGCGCAAACAGGAUUAGAUACCCUGGUAGUCCACGCCGUAAACGAUGUCUACUUGGAGGUUGUGGCCUUGAGCCGUGGCUUUCGGAGCUAACGCGUUAAGUAGACCGCCUGGGGAGUACGGUCGCAAGAUUAAAACUCAAAUGAAUUGACGGGGGCCCGCACAAGCGGUGGAGCAUGUGGUUUAAUUCGAUGCAACGCGAAGAACCUUACCUACUCUUGACAUCCAGAGAAGCCAGCGGAGACGCAGGUGUGCCUUCGGGAGCUCUGAGACAGGUGCUGCAUGGCUGUCGUCAGCUCGUGUUGUGAAAUGUUGGGUUAAGUCCCGCAACGAGCGCAACCCUUAUCCUUGUUUGCCAGCNAGUAAUGUCGGGAACUCCAGGGAGACUGCCGGUGAUAAACCG
rnacentral:rRNA from 1 species